AUGGAUGAACUUAUGAAAUUUUUUGCUACUAAGAGUGCUUCUAUUGAUCCCAAUGAUAUUCCUUUGUCUACUUUGAUUGAGAAUAAUAAUGAAUCUAUGGAUGUGAAUUUUGUUGGUAGGAAUAUUUUUGGUAACAAUGCUUAUAGAGGAAACUUUAAUCCUAGAUCAUUCCCUAGUAAUUCCUCUAAUAAUUAUGGAAAUUCCUACAAUAAUUCUUAUGGUAAUUUUAAUAAGAUGCCCUCUGAUUUUGAUAAUAGUGUGAAAGAAUUUAUGAUCUCUCAAAAGAAUUUUAAUGCCAUGCUUAAAGAAAAAUUGCUUAAAGUUGAUGAUUUGGCUAGGAACGUUGAUAGACUUUCGCUUGAUGUUGAUUCUUUGAAACUUAGAUCUACUCCUCCUAAGAAUGAUAUAAAUGAGUCUCUAAAAGCUAUGAUAAUUUCCAUUGAUGAGUGCAAAGAAAGAACUGCUAAAUUGCGUGCUAAGAAAGAUUGCUUUGUAAAGGCAUGUUCUUCUAGUUUCCAUGAAAAUAAUGAUGAAGAUCUAAAAGUUAUUGAUGUGUCCCCUAUUAAAUAUUUGUUUUGCAAUAUGAAUCUUAAUAAUGAUGGGACUGGAGAUGAGUCAACUUUAGUUAAAAGGUGUCCCAAUGAUUCGGAGUUUUUAGAUCUUGAUGCUAAAAUUGGUAAAAGUGGGAUUGGAGAGGUCGAGACUUUAAAUAGCAUUGAACCCACUAUCUAG
rnacentral:rRNA from 1 species